CGCCACCUUUCCUUUUUCCUUCCUUCCUUGUCCCGCCUUUAGCCCGCUCUGCGAAAUGCGGUGAAGUUUUCACAGCCGAGUGGAGCACAUUGCGAAAGCCUAGAUUGCAAAUCGCUGCAUAGAAAAAAAACAAAAAUUUGAUUCCGUGAAAUUCGGCUCAGUAGGCAUUUCUUAAAAGCUUCCCUGGGGCAUGGCGCAGGGGACCCGGAGGACAACAAACUUCGGGAUUCCAGAGCAGAUUCAGCGUCAGCAGAGGGGAUAUGGCUGAUGGCAUUUUGCGCUCGCAACAGAUCGGCGAAAUGCGGGAAUUCAGACACCAGAAGAGCACACGCUGAACUUUAGAGUCUAAGGGGCCGUGUUGACGCGUCCCCAGUCUUUAAGUGUACACACGACUGUUGUAGACAUUCAAGCACUUAGAGCACGGUGGAGCGGUUACUUUUGAGACGUGUAUCUACGGAAUACGUUCCCAGAGACCAGCAAACCCGCUUUGAAUGUGCUUACUGGCGCGCCUUAAAUUUGUUGAAACGACACGGGUACCCAGACACGUAUUUUAAGUACAUAGGUACUUUCUUUGUGUGUGUUCCAAGUGCAUACGGUCAAAAAUAUUUCAAAGGGUACAGCGGACAAUCCUGUGAAACUCCCCUUGCUCCCCUGUCCGCUCCGGCCCUCCAGAGCCGUGCUUGGCACACACGCCGGGGCACGUCUGUCCCUGCGCCCUCAUUGGGCGUUGCGUGUGCAGACCGUCCCCGUGUGUGUGGAGGGCUGCGGCCUUGUAUCUCUAGGUAGGGAACAUCUUUUGUCUCUCGGCAAGAAGCUUUCCUCCGGGAAAGAUAAAGUAAUCGAUAGGGUCUUUUAAAUAGCUCCGCGUUUCCUGUCGGGAGAGGAGUAUCAGCGCGCGCACCAAAUCUGCUCUGAUUCCAGAAAGUAACAUGCUCCUUGAUGAAAAGGCCACAGUCAUUGUCUUGCGGGAUUGGCCUGGCCUGGCUCUGACAGUUCUCAGCUGCUCCAUAAAUCUCGCAUCAGUUCCAUCUGGCCAAAAAGAUGUCAUCACCGUUUUCUCAUAGCGAAGAAGAGGAAAAGGUAAAUAAUGAAACACCCUGCCACCCCUGUUCAAGCCAAGCAGGAUGAACUUAAUGUUUUCAGUGGAAGGGGAAGUCAGUGUUGUGCUGGGUUGCUUAUGCUGUAAUGGUAAUUUAUAUCCAUAUGUUAGAGAUUAUUAUAGGGAGAGUGAUUAUAGUUUAGGUAUUAUUGACUAUAUUCUGGGCACCCAGAUACUUAAUACCCAAAUUCAGGUGUCUGAAAGUUGGAAGGAACCUUGCCCGUCUUCCAGUUCAGUUGUUCUCAAAGUUUUGCUUUAAAACAGUGGAACCUUUAUUGCAAAUGAUCUUUUUAUGCAGAAUCCCAGUUCCUAAAAUAGAAAGGCUGAAUGUAGGAGAGUCUUCCUGUCUUCAUGGUGGUUCCUGUUUGGAAACUGCUGUGUUUAAAUUCUCUGUCUAGUUCCUAAAUCCCCUAGCGAUUGGCUGUUAGUGACAGAGCUCUUGCAGGCAUAACUCCAGUGAGAGGGCUUCACCACUGUGGGAAGCUGCCUCUACAAUGCUAAGAUCCAGUCAAUUUUCAGAAAGACCUAUAUUAAUGCCAGUAAAGUCCUCUGACCUUCUCCUCUCCCUAAUGUGUGCCCUUCAGGAGACUCUGGAGUCCUGCAUUUAGUCCCUGACUUGGAGAUGGUGAAUAUCCUAGGCUGCUGAGCCAUUUUUUGUGCUAAGCAAAGAUGGGUCCUUUUGUUGGCUCAUGGGGUUUAUCUAGAAUCUGGGAGAGUUCACCUUGACUGGGAUUGAAUGGACACUGUCAGGGGUCUCACAUCUUGCUCCUCCAUCAGGAGCUGGCCCCUGUGUGUGGUGGGAGGGAGGUGGGAAAGGCUCUGAGUCCUAGGCCCUCUUCUCGCAGUGACCCCUCCAGCCUGAGGCUCCCUGGUGCAUGGGGACAGUGCAGAAUCUCGUGUUCCCCUGCCUAGCACUUGGCUGGCAGUAUUCAGGCAGGUCACAAAUUAUUCCACUAAUUUCUAGAAUAAACAAAAGCAAAUAACCAGGGGGUAGUCAUCAGAUGGGACUCAAGGGGAGCUUGGGAACUUAACUUUAUCUGGUUUUGCCUAAGCGUUGCAGAACAUAGUGGGGUUGAAAGGCAGGUGUUCUUACUGCCCUCUGCGUGAUUUUCAGCUAGCAGUAUUGUCUCAUUCGGCUUUUUAAAAAAAUUAUACAUUGUUUUAUUUUUAAUUGAAGUAUAAUUGAUUUGAGAUGUUGUUUCUGGUGUACAGCAGUGUGACUC
ensembl:lncRNA